GUGCCAGGAGCCGCGGUAAUACCGGCAGCCCGAGUGAUGGCCGAUCUUAUUGGGCCUAAAGCGUCCGUAGCUGGGUCUGAAAGUCCAUCGGGAAAUCCACUCGCUCAACGAGUGGCCGUCCGGUGGAAACUCCACACCUUGGGACCGGAAGGCUCGAAGGGUACGGCCGGGGUAGGAGUGAAAUCCUGUAAUCCCGUCCGGACCACCGAUGGCGAAAGCACUUCGAGAAAACGGAUCCGACAGUGAGGGACGAAGGCUGAGGUCGCGAACCGAAUUAGAAACCCGGGUGUCC
rnacentral:rRNA from 1 species